rnacentral:rRNA from 1 species
UACAGAGGGUGCGAGCGUUAAUCGGAAUUACUGGGCGUAAAGCGUGCGUAGACGGUUAUGUAAGUCGGAUGUGAAAGCCCUGGGCUCAACCUGGGAAUUGCAUUGGAUACUGGCAGGCUAGAGUGCGGUAGAGGAUGGCGGAAUUCCCCGGUGUAGCAGUGAAAUGCGUAGAGAUCGGGAGGAACAUCUGUGGCGAAGGCGGCCAUCUGGACCAGCACUGACACUGAGGCACGAAAGCGUGGGGAGCAAACAGG